ensembl:lncRNA
UGCAAGCAGAUGAGCAGGGGCUGCCUGAAAUUUGCUCAGCUAUGCUGCAGUGCACGUGGAGGGGGCUCACGUUUCACCAGUGCUUGUAGCAUGGCUCACUCCAGGGGGAGAGGUUCCUCCACUUGUGAUGGAGCCUGGCAGCAAUGUUAUUACUGUAGUGGUCUGGAUUUGCAGCUUCACAUUCUUGUUGUCUCUCUCCUAAGGUGUGCUCAGAAUUUUAUUUUUUUUGCGCCUAACUUAGCAGAAAAAUAAUCAUGAGAAUUUAUACCACUACAAUUUCUGUUCCCAGAAGAACUGUAGCAGAUGAAAGACGCUGGAGGAGGAGGAAGAUGGCAAGAAGCGUCGUUCACUGGAAUGCAUGUACUGGAACGCACGCUCACGUCUUCUGCUGGAGGGACCUCUGCCAAGGGAGAACAUCACUUCUGAGGAACUGCUGGUUCAAAUUGCCACUUAAUCUCUUCAAAUUGGCUUUCGUGUACACCCGUGGCACACGGACCUCAGCAGUCUGGUGCAGAGCUCUGUGCAGUGCAGCCUGAGGAGAUGCUCUAAAACCUCACCUUGGCUGCACUGAAAAGUGUGGCAAGAGAUGCAGAAUAAUGCCUGACACCUCGAAUGGCAUGCAUCGGGGCUAUUACAUGAUGAAUGGCUGUGUCUUGGGAAUUGGAAGUCAUGGGUGAUAGCUUUAUGGGAGCAGACAAGACUUCUGGAUGUAUAAAGAAAGAAGGACAUAACUCUGAAUUUAUACAAGCCAUAUUUAUUGUAAAACCCUAAUGAAGGUUAAUGCUUUGACCCCAAGGAAGGUGGUGUGCAUUUGCAAUGAAGCUCUGGGAUGCCUCCCUUGUUGAUGGCACACAGAAGCUUGGCAAAUUUGGACUGGGAGAUGGACAUUGUUAUAUGCCAGUGAGCAGCCUGGCUGCUGCCAUCACAGCGCUGGGACCUUGCGGAGUUCCCUGUGAAGGCUGUAUUUGUUUUCUCUUAUGACUUUGGUGUUGAUGAUGAACAAUGGCAUUCUACCAAGUGUGGCAGAUACCACCUGUGGAUGAGCUGCGUUUUGAAGAGGAAAACCCUCCCAAGCGUUGCUCUGUUCUGCAGUGAAGUUUCACUGAUCUGGAACUUCAGGUGCUUCGUCCCCUGGUUUGCUGAUUUGCUGCUACUUGCUGUUUCUGAUUUUCUUUCUACAACAAUGUAUUGGGAACACAGUAUAUGGCUUCUUGAAGAAGGGACAUUCACAGAAGAAGCCACAAGGAAAAUCCCAUCGUGAGCCCCAAAGACACCUUCAUCUCUGCGUCUAUGCAGCUCUAGCCUGUGGCUGCUCUGUGGCUGUCCUGAGCAUGCGAUGCUGAUUCAAAGCUCCGAAGAAGCUGCACCGACCGCCUGUCUUGGCAUGACUGUCUGCUGCUGAAUUUGCUGGAGAAAUUAGAACUUGUCUUGCAGAAGAUGGACUCACUGGUUUUAUUAAUAUUGCAAAAUAGCUAGCUUUGACAAGCAGCCAAGAGUGGAGCUAGUCCCUUUCCCAGCCACAGGUUGUCUCAUAGUGAACCCUUCUUUCACUUGGCAGUGCACUGCAAAUGUGAGAACCAUGCCUCCUCCUGCCAUAGCUCUCACGUUACUCUCAUCUCCACCACGCUGUCCAACUCAGCUUAGCUGAGCGUGGAAGCUGCCUCCUCACCCAAGUAAGCACUGCUUACCCAGGUGUGCCCGGCUGGAUGAGGGAGGGGGACGCCCAACAUCCUGAUGGCAGACAGAUCCCACAGCAAACUGUGUCUGUCAUAGGAGGUGCGAUGAGCCACUUAUGUUGGCCAGAUGUCUCACGGUUGGUUGAGAUGACCCUUCCCCUCUCUCUGAAGGGACACAACUUGGCUUUUCUACAGCUCCAGGUAGAGGAAAAGCACCACUGGCUGCAAGAACUGGGCUGUCUCACCUUGCUGUUUUGAGGACUGGAAACCUUUUAUGACUGGUGAGACGGAGGCUGUAUCUUUAGGCACCAUCCCUUGGAAUGUCUGGCCCUGCAAGCAUGACUCCUCCAGCUGUCCCUAUCUCUUUUAUUCAGGAGCCCUUUGGCACUUUCUAAAUCUCCCUCAUUCUUACGGACCUUUCCAAGGGGACCUUGACUGGUGGAAUAUGUCAGACUGCUUGCCAGCCACAACCUAACUGCAGUGACACUUUGCAGCUCUUGCAAGGAGGCUGUAACUACAUGUGGAACACAGCUGAUUCAGCUAACCUGGUCAAGGUUAAUGUCACAGAGAUACCAUGAAGGGAAGAUGGUCCCUGUGAGCUCAGUGGCACUGUGGCAUCAUUCCCCUUCCAGACAGUAAAUGAGAGUAGUCCCUUCUGAGAGCAGCAGCUAGGGGAGUUGAGAGCAGAUCUCCAGGUUGCACUCAUCCAGCCUGAGUCAGUCAGGGCUCUGUUGUAGUGGGUUUGCUGAUAUAGUUGUCCAAAUUUGACCAAAACAGUGUAGAUAACACUCUGUUUUAGCUGUUGCUGAGCAGUGCUUGUGUACCAAGCAGGCUGGGGUGCACAAGGAGCUGGGGGGGGGGGGGGAAACGACGCAAUCAGGACAGCUGAGCUCUGCUGACCAGAGGGAUAUCCCAUAGUGUGAGAUGUGCUCAGUUCGUGGAAAGAAGGAGGAAGAGGGGAUGGUCAGUGUGUUUGUUUUCCAAGUCCCCAUGACAUGUGAUGGUAGUGGCUGAACACCUGUCUGUUGAUAGGAGGGAAGGAAUAAAUUCCUGACUUCGCUUUGUUUGUGCAUGCAGCUUUCGCUUCCUUUAUCAAACUGUCUUUAUCUCAAUUUAUGAGUUUUUGCACUUCUGCCCUUCCCAUUCUCUCCCUCAAGUAAUGGGGGAUAUCUACCCACACCUAUACUGAGCAUGGAGGAUGUGUCAGCUUUUGUGCCCCAGCAGACCAGGGUCCUGCAGCACAUCCUGGAGUUCAGAUCUCAAACCAUCCCUCCUGCCUUGCUAUCAAGCACUUCCAGAUCCAGGCUUUUGGCUCCUGCUGAGCUUGCCUGCAAGUGGAGGGUGAUGUCCUUAAAUACAGAGAGGGCUGAGAAUUUUUUUGGUGGAGUUAAGGCAUCCACAUCCAAGGAAGGUCUGGAAAAUGGAAGGGGAAUGAAGCCUGCCUGUGAGGCUGUGCAGAUAGCCACGGCUCAGCAGUGUGUUCCAGCCACAGAGCACUAAGCCAUGACAGGAGGCUGGCGUGGGAUCAUCGUAGAUUAUUAGUGCCUCCUGCUUUAUAAGCGAAGCUCUGGGGGAGGAAAUAUGUAGUGAAGUGAAACUGGUGAUUGUACAGGCACGCCAGCGAUUAAGGUUGAAGUGGGUGGGCAGUCUGUGGGGGCUGGUGUGUUAACUCCAGCCAAGGAGAGGCACAGGCUUUCCAAUCUCUGCUAUCUCAGUUUCAGCGCUGCAGACAACCCAUCGGGGUGUCAUUAACAAGCAGUUACUUCACUCUCGUUGCUGUGCUUUAAGGAAAUAUGUCAAAGGCAUUUCUGGUGAGCAAGGGCUCGGUGCGAUCAGAUUGCUCGAGCCUUCUCACAGCAUUCCAUUCAGAUUAUAAUACACAAUAGUUCAGACCCUGCUGUGUCCCAUUACUCAAUUAUGAAAUUGCUUUAGAAGUUGGGAGCUUACUGAUUGGCUCUGAAUGAUUUCAUACCCAUCAUAUUUCUGUGUGUUUGUGCUCUUGGGCUGAUUGCUCGUUCUUGUUGGUUCAAGCCGCUUCACUCUUCACUUUCAUGCACGAGAAUGUGUUUUAUGCUUUCCCAUAUCACUAAAAAAAAUUACCACUCAGCGUGCUUCGUCUCUUCAGGUAGGUGGCAGAGGCACAAACGACCCUUGAGGUCAGUUGCUGUGGGUUUGGAACCUGAAUGUAAUUGCACAGCAGCAAGGAGAACUUGGAAUAUGUGGCGAAGUGAAUGACACACUGAAUCCUCAAGCUUUUACCCACUAAGAAUCACAACCAGUAGGCAUCAUCAGCCUAUAUAAAAUUUAACUUUGUUCACAGACUGUAUGGAAGAAGCAAGGAAAAGGUUAUAUUGACUGUUCAGGAAUGUGACUCAGCAUCACAGUGUACUGCCUGGGAGGCUGGACGUGUUUAGGAGCCCUGUGCAUGGCCAAGCAACUGGAUGCCAUUGACGUGGUGCUCGAGCCUUGAUCUGCUGUUCAAAGGGGAGAGACUUCUUAAGAAAAAGCCUGAACUGUGGUAGUCCCUUAAGAGUUUCUCCUGGGCCAAAUACUGAAAUCCUCUCUAGGUUAAUUCCUCGCUGGAGACAUUCAGAGGGUUGCACAAGUCAAAAUGAAAUGAAGGCACUGGAUCUGUCUGGCUUGUUUUUAGGGAAUAAUUUAUUUCCCAGAAUCAGCAUUUACGAUUUUUUUUUUUCCCCUUCAGAUCAGACCACCAGCAGGUUUGUUUCACCCUCUAGGUGUUGUCAGGGAAUUACUGGAAAGCAGCACGGCUUUCUAUACCUUUGAUGCUCUUAAAAUUAUAGCCCCUUUUCCCAACACAGAGAUGUAGCUAGAAGAUCUGUGAAAGGUUUUAGCUCACGUUUCCAAGAAAGAACCACUAAUUUUUUGAUGAGUUAAGGCUUUGGCAACAGCAGUGGGAUUCUCUCACCUGCCAGCAGAUAAGAAUCAUUGUAAAUGUUCACCAUUCUGGGCUAUGCUAUCUAGCCAGUUGAAAAGCCAGUAGUGUGCCAUCUGAAUUUUCCCCUUUCAGAAUUUCCAUUGAACGUGGUCGUUCUGACAAUCUGCCAUUCCACUAGCACAAAAAGGUGCUUAUCUUGCAAAGUUAUUUCAUUUAUAUUAACUCAUUGUGUUUACUUAUUUAAAUAUUCUCUGCAGAUGAGACAUAUGGCAAAUGCUGGCCAACUUAGUCUCAGCUGCUUCUCAGAUCCAGAUGCUAAUAUCAUUUCAUAACUUGGCUUGUGCAGUUCAGAUCUGUACCAAAAGAUUCUGUUUUGAAUUACCAUUAUAUUUGAUAUUAAUACUAAGCAUACUCACAGCUGUCCUACAUUGCUAUUUCCACCCUCACUGGGAUUCGGAUCUCAGACAGAGAACAUAACACUCUUCCAUGUCUGCCUCUCAGGCUUUUACAUCUAUCCUGGGCUCACAGUGUAUUGUCUGCAGCAGAGUAUGCACUAAUUACCUCUGCAUCGUACCUAGCUUAGGGGCUUGAUGGCCUUUCUGGGGUCAGGUCUAACCUGGGUGGUUUUUCCAGCACUGUAGUAGUGAUCUUUAACAGGGCAGUCCAGAAAAGACUGACAUGUUGAUUGUUGAGUCUCCAAGGGCAUUUGGGACUGGAUUUCUGAAGUGUUUAGUCACCUGAAGAUGAGGAAUGGUAUCUAAUGGGAUUUUCCAAACCACACUGGGCUCAGAUCCUCAGUGGUAUUAAAUGUCUUUGUCUCGGUGAAGCUCAUGGGAGUGAAGCAGCCAAGCAUGCUGAGGGUGUGGAUGUCCAUGCCCUGUACUCUUUGACAACAUCUGCACAGUCUGUAAGAGCAUCAACACCUUUAUGAGUCUGGAGAAGCCAGCCCAGCCCCAGAAGCUGAGCACAGGACUUCCCUGAGCUGUGGGGAAUGUGCUCACACCUUGCCCCUAGUCUGGCAGAUGCACAGAGAUGAAAUGUUCCCAGCUUUGCAUGGAGUCCAUGCCCACCCUCAGCUAUGGUACUCACUGGGGGAACAGGGGGUGCAAGGAGUAAACCUUACAGCCUGCUAAGGGCAGAACUGGACCAGCUGAGCCUGGGUAAACAUCCGCGUUGCUGGGAAUGGCACUUCAGUCACUUCUAUGACUCAAGUAUUUUCUUUUUCCCACAGAGCCAGUGUCACUAUGGAGAGGAGUAAGAUUAAACAACCCAAUUCCUUGUGCCCGCUGAGUAUGGCUGAGCAACACCUGUGUGUCCGUGGCCAGAAAUUUGCCCUGGGCACGUGAUUCCUUAGCACAAGAGCAGGAUGUAGGCUGCUGCUAAGGAGCAGGUCAGCACUUGAGAAGGAGUCACGUGCCUACUCUCACUGAAAGCUAAAUAUUUCUGUUGGUGACAAUCUAGCUUACCACCUUUUACAGCAGAAAACAGGAGAAAGGCUGUAAAUCCAACGUAACCUCACCUGGCCUCUCAGGAGCCAGCACGGUGGUGGUAGGACUCAGGCUGGGGAACAUCCUGGGUGCCGUUCGGGUUGUGAGUGGGUUGGCAUCCUUGGCACGAGCCCAUUCAAAAGCAGCAGGCACAGCCCUGGCCCCAGCAGUGAAAUGUCCUGGCCAGAUGUGUGCUUGAGGAGCACCUCGCCUGGGUGUUUUCCAAGGUACACCAAGAUGCAUGCUGCGCAGCGAGAGUCAGCGCCUCUCCCUCCAUCUUCUGCUUUCUCCUCAGAGAGGAUUGGAGUUUAUUUAAUCUCAGAUUUCUUGCUGAAAAACGCUCAGUGAGCAUGAAAUGCCUUUGAACUCUGGGAGCAUUGCUACUGCCUGUAAUAAGGCUGGGUAGAGGGAGACAGCCGCUUCCGUUGCUAUUCCAAACACAUCUGCACAACGCACUUCAGGAAGCACUGAAACGUCCCCGCAGCCCCGGCCCCUUCUGUAGGUGCGGGAGGAUGAAGGGCACUGCGUGAGACCCGCACACCAUCGGCACACAGCACGCAACGGGGGCAAAUAGCUGAGCUUCGUAUGAAAGUAUUUCAGCCUAGACAACAAUCAGCUGCAAGGAACUUGGAAUACGUCGGAAAGCGGAUAGCCAGGAAACCCUUUCCAUGAAGUGCAGAGAGGAUUUAGUUGCUGAGAGCUGCAAAGAUGCAUACAUUUUCCUAAAAAAACAUUCGCGGUGCCAACAUGAAGAUUCAGUGCAUUGUCAAAACAAGCCAAGAUUCUUAUUAAAACCAAUUGCUUUGGUUUGUUAGGCUACUUUACUAUGGUGUCUCUAAGCCAACAUAUGUAUUUGGGUUUAGAAGAGCUGUUGCAGCCAAACCUUAGGUGGCUGGAAAUGAAUGCGAGCUGAGCAGAUGCAGGGUAUCAUUUGCCCACUACUGUCCUUUUGAGGCUGCUUGAUGGUAUGUGGUAUGUCAGAUGUUGGCUUUCUCCUCUCUGAGAGCAGAUGGCUUGGUGAGGAAGCUGUGCAAUGCAUCUUUGUAUGAGGUAGGCAAGGCUGCGAGAACCCUAGGUGCAUCUCAUUUGCACAAACAGGAAUGUAACAGAAGAAAAUAAGAGAAAACAUAUAUGAUGUUUCUUGUAACGUGGAUUUCACAUGGCUGAAUGCUGUGAAUAAGAGAAUUUUGAAGAGAGAGGAGAUAUUUUUCAUUAGGCUGUUACGAUCCCCAAAAAGCUCGCAGAAGAAGACCUUGUGUGUCUAAAAGUUAGUCUGCUUUUUGGGAGGGCUAUAUUGGUCCAGCAAAAGACAUUAUCCCUCUCCUAUAUCCUUUAUCUCUUUUGCCCAUCAUGGCUACAGCAAUCCUAUGCUGGAAUAAGAAACCAAGGGGGUGUGCUUCUGCAGCGUGGAUCCUCUCUUCGUGGCAUCAGAGCAGAAGGAGAGUCCUUCCACCUGUGCCAAUGAUGACAGAUGGGGUAUGUGAAAUUGGCACUGGGGGUGAUGUUCUAACACAAGUAUUCAAUUAUUCUCUAGGCAAACCUAAAAAAAAAAAAAAAAACAACCUGAAGAUUUUUUGAAUGUACAUUUGAAGCCAGAAUUACAUUUCUACUUUAUAAUAUAUAUGGUAUUGGAAGAUUUGACUGUUUUAGCAGUGUGAGGUUAAAAAAAGAAACAGUUAAGUCUUCGAGGGGGUGUGCUAGAGAAGGCAAUUCUAUCUACUGCAGUGCUUCAAAGAUCAGGAAGCUGAGAUACCAGAAAUUUUCUUUUCCUAUUCCUUUAUUGAGCACCCCGGCUCACCCAUGAACACUGUGCUUUGUGACCCCAGUAACAUCCCAUAGUGAUAACGUAUUUCCUAAAAGGGCAUUUAAGAGAAAUGCAGGACGAUGCUGUAAGGUGUUGCUAACGGAAUAUCAUCUGCACCAGGCACUGGGAAGCGCUGCUGUGCUGACCCGCAGCCCUGGCUGUUGGGAUGGCUGGGUGCUGGCACUGAGCUGCAGAGGGGCACGCUGCUGGAGGAGGGAGGACGUGCCCGAGAUUCCCAUGCUCUGAGCAAGAGCUCAGGCUCAGCCUGCCUCCAGCGGGCUGCACUCGCACAUCUGAGCCUCAAGGCAAACUCCCAGCCCAGCUAUCAGACUCUUGGCAGCAAUUUCCACACGGGUUUGUUGUAUUUGGACUCGAGAUUCCCCCUUGACCCCAAAAGUCACACUAAAACGCUAAAAGUAUUUUCUUUACUUGCUAAAGAAAACACAGAGGACUUUAUUUAGUUAUUCAGAACUCCUCAGCCAUUCUUCGAUCACUUCAUGAUUUCCAGAGAUUGUAUCUGUGCUGUUGUCUGCCGGCUCGGGUCACUCCGAGCAGCUCGGAGGGGAAGGAAAGCUGCUACAUUUCAUUGUCCUCAAAAGAGGGGAGAAAAAUCCGACUCGCGUUCCCAAUCCAAACACCGCCGCUGCCUCGUGCAUUCUUGACAGCUAGCGAGGCUUCAUUGAGAACCGUUUGUAGCCUUUAGCUCCCUUCUAACAAGUUGGCCAUUGCCAUCGAGGAGAUUUUUUCUCAACUGAUUUAUGAGCUUUAAUUUAUAUGCGAGCCUGGAAUACUUGCUUUGGGAAGAGUUCUGCCACAAGCCAAGCUUGCACGGAGAUGCACAGCAAUUUGCAUGGUAUGUUCUGUACGCUCACCGUCCAGCCUGCAGCAGGCCAAAAAACCCCAGGUCCCGCAGCACUUGGCUCUCCAGCAGCAGCUCCAUACAGUCAUCACACGGAGAGUCGGGGAAAGCAGGACCUGUCUGGAUAAUAAGCCAUCAUUUCGUCCCAUGCUUAAAAGAAGCUCUCUGUGCUUUGAACAGGCCAAAUAACAUUUUCCCCCAUAAUUUUUUAACUUUGGGCACCUUUGCAAAUUACUCUCCUGGCUGGGAAGGAGCUCAGGAGUGCCAGAACACCAUGGGAAGAGGCUGCUCUGUGAUACUGCCAACCUGCGAAGGAGGAGGAAAUGCUGGAAAUCCCCUAAGCACGCCUGUUUUCUUGAGAUUCCCAACUCGAUUUUGCAAACUCAGAAGAUUUUAUAUAAUUUGGUUUAGUCGGUUCAGAGGUCUAAGGCACUUGGCUGUGCAUCUGGAUUGCAUCUUUGGGGUGGGUUAUCCAAAAAAGUACUCAGAACAGUAUGAAAUUCAUCCUUCGCUAGCAAAGCUGAAGGAAAACAAGAGCACGGGAAGGGAGUUUCUUCUCUCUGCUUGCUGUGCUGGACGCUGGGUGUGAACCUGUGAUCCGUGCCUCUGCCACCAGAUGCUGUGCCUUGUGCCAGCAGAGGAGACAUCAGCCCGCUGACCACCUGUCUUCAGAGCAAGAAAAAAAGGAAAAGAGAGAGAAUUUGAAAAUAAAUCUCUCAUCUGAUGUGCAAGUGCAGCAAGCACAGUGAUGACACACAAGCUACAGGGCUUUAUUCAGGCUUCCCUGUCUGAUAAUGUGGGCCUUAAAAACCCCUGACAUGAAAUGAUUCAGGUUGAAAAGUGCAAGUCAAUCCAAAACAGAAACAAAGAAACUUAGUGUUAACGGCCCUUUCAUUUUAUCACCAUAGAAAAGGGUUGCGUAUUGAUGCGACAGUGCCCACGGAAGCCCAGAGCCCAUCUGCAGGUGGUGCUAACCCAGAGCUGUCCCACAGCAUUGGCAGCCACCAGCACCUCGCGGGCUGGGCUGGGCUGGGCUCUGCCUGCAGGCGGCUGCGUUCGGCGGUGGGUGAAACGAGUCCUCUGUUUUGAUGGGCCAACUCUUCCCUUUAGAUGUCUGUGCUCACCUCCCAUUAACUUUGGUAUGAGCUGAGCUCAUGCUUCCAAGAGCGAAAUUUGGCUUAUAAUUUCUGCAUGCUUCGGGAUCCUUUGGGUACCAUAUAAAUGUAACAUGCUGUGAUUCAGUGCUAAAGAGCAGAGAAAAUUCAACCCCCCAGGAGAUACAGUGAGAGAAAAUCAUAUAGAACCUUUGUUUAAAAUAAUAAUGAAAAGAAAAAAGAAAGAUCAAGAAAAACAAUUGAGAUUCAUUCCAAAGCUGAGUUCAUUGCACAGCGAGGACAGAACGCACAUCCCUUAUCCAGCGAUAGCUUCUUUGACAUGGAUGAGUUAGGGCCCAUUGGACCAGGCCCCAGUUUUGAAGGCAUUAUUGAAAAUGUCUUACCUCCUAUAUUUCCUGUUUUUUAAUCAAACUCACUGUGCUGCCAGAGGUGUUUCAUUUACCAGGAGAGGGGUCAGCGAGGCAGCCACGAGCAACAGGAAAUAAAGCACCGUGCGGCCCCUCCCUGCCUGGACGCGGGCUGGGGCCAGCAGUGCUGAGCUCGGUGCUGUCUGCCUGUACCAUGGCAUCCUACAGCCAACGUGGGCACUGGGGGUCUGCCUGCUGGCUCUGCCAUGCAGCCCUGCGCCAACAGCGAACGGUGCAUACAUCCUCGAAUUUUAUUUUCUAUCUACUGCCGUAGUUUCUUGGCUUGUUGCAACUGUCAUAAAAUUACUUUAUUAUAUUUUCCCAUCUGUUAUGUUUUUGCUUCUUUAGAGGGGGAUGUUGCGUGAUGCUUAUAGUCUAAUUUAGCUUUAAACUUGUAUGGCUGUUGUUUAUGGAAAACGAACGUUGCAUUUGCAGAAUAACCUGUGGCUUUCCUGUAGAACCAAGGAGAAUGUCUGCAGGCAGCAAACAUGGAUGCAACCAGAUGGACAGGACUGCUCAUUGCCUCCUGCCCCAACUCCUCUGCUUUGAGUUGUGGCCUUGGCCAUGGCCAGUGGAGUUCUAAUUACUCAUUAAUUUAGCUAUCCUCCUGCAUUGCCCAGCUAAGGGCUCUCCAUCACCACUUUCACCACUGUUGAAGCCAUUCAUUCAGUCUUAGCUUGAACAACCUAAGUCUUAGAAUAAUUUGUUCUUUAACAAAAAGCGCAGAGAACAGAGCGCUGCUCUGCCCACCUGGCUUGUUUUCCGCUCUCCUCUUUGCCUCCAGUCUGACUGCUGGUUCUCAUGGUCUGCCUGAGCUGGAGAGUAAUCCCAUCCACUCCCCUGCUCACAUUGUUGUUUUUUUUUCCUGUAAUUUGUACUGCUAGUGUAUAUUAAAGAUUUUGUUCUGUUAAACUGUUGAGACUGUUAGAUGAAAUCCAGCAUUUAAUCUGGGAGUUUGGCGAUACCAAAGGAUUUCUGAACACACAAAAUCCUGCUCUAAGAAGAAAAAAGUGAAGUUUGAGAAUCCUAUUUAUGUACCUCCACUGAGUCUCUCCUUCCUGCCCUGAGUGUAUUACACUGUGCUUCUCAAACACAAUUUUAUCUCCAGGAGAGGAAGCAAUAACUGUUCUUAUCAGUGGACCAGAACCUACAUCAUGCACAUGGCAUGAGGCAAAGAAAUCCCAUGCACCUGCAACUGGCCACGACUUUGGCACAAACAGAAGCAGAGAGAGCACACGUGUAAGGAGCUGAGUCAAGGACUUUGAGCAACGAUGUGACUGCUGUCUAUCAGGAUCUUGUGAAUAACAAGGCAGCUGGGGUGUGACUUCAAAAUAUAACUGUGACAUUUGUGGACAUCAUAGGCAAUUAGUUGUUUUUCGAUUGCGGUUGUCUAACUGGAAAGUAUGGGUGAAGUUUCAGCCUCUACAACGGUCCAACUGUUUGACAUCAACAGUUUCGAAAAAGGGACUUUUACUGUAUAAAAUGAUUAUUCCUAUCUGUAGAUUGUAGUAAAAGAAAAAUCCAAGGCACGAUGUGAAACUGAUGCCUGAGUAGAGCUGUGCAAGAUCGCUUCGGUGGCAGCUCUCUUGGCUUCCACCUCUGUGCCAUCAGUGCUGCACUUCUUGUGGAUGCUGUCCUUCAGGAUUAAGAAGGAAUAAAGAGAAUCAGACACAGAAUCACUGCCUGUGCUGGAAUUCAGCUGGUGAAGACCUCAAAAUGAACUGGCAAGGAGGUUGCAUUUGAACUCUGCAGCCCCUAUGUUCAAUUCUUUAUUAACUUUUUCAAUAUGUUCUAUUACGGUCACAAUAUGGGAGCUAUCUUGCAGCUAAUUUAACACCUGUAAAUUCCCAUGGCUGGUAAUGAAACAUUGCAUAGACUAGUGGAUGAAGCAUUUGCUUCAUAUAUCUAAGGUCAUUAGUUCAGUACUCGUUAAUGCUGUAGCUUUUAUUAAAAUUUCUUUUAGUUUUGGUUUUCUUUUUGCAUCAGCCCCUUACAGGCUGAUUAAUUCUUCUCCUUCCCAAAGCUAAACACAAAACAUGAGCAUCUGACCCAGAGCACUGGGGCUAAACUCUGCACUGAAGUCUUGAAUUAUGCUGCCUGAGGUUAUCCUUUCAAAGCCUCCCCGGCUGCCAUGAGGGUGACAGUGUGACACCAGGGGACACGUCAUCGUGGCCAGGUCAUGGUGACACAAGUGACACUGCUGUUGGCACGUUCCGUUCCCUCUGCCCAGCCUGCGCUGUGUCAUCACUGCUGCGGCUGAGAAAAGCAGAGGCAGUGAGCUCCGGCCCUGCAGCUGGUGUUGCUGGAUGUUUUCUAUCCAACCUGACCCUUUCUCAACCCUGACAUGGGUUGGGUCCACCACAGUAGCCAACUUUUCAAAACACAACCAGCACAAAGCAACAUUAUCAUGAAAGUAAGCGGCUUCUGGAGAUGAAAUCACAUGAGCCGUGCAUCCAAAUGCGAUGCUGCAGCUUCUGGGAAACGCUGAGCGUGCGCUUCUUCACCUUGCAAGCUCUUGGCAUGCGUGCUGUUUAUCAAAAUAACAGCUCAUUGAAAUACAGCCCAAAGGACUGCCAGGAAGGUUGAAUGAAGCACUGUUGUUUCCAGCACACCACGGUCUCCAUUGGUUUCUCCAGAGGAGGGAAGUGCGUGGGCUCCAGGAACGCACCCCAUGCCCAAAGCCCACCUGGUUCUGCCUGCACGUGGAGCUGCCAUGGGACUGCGCCUCGGCCAGAUCUGGACAUUGCUUUGUUAGCAAAGUGCCACCUGCCAGGAGUCUGCCCCUGGGGCAUCAUUCUGGUCAUCCACAGGGAAAAGAAAUGCUGGAUGUACUCCUGACACCAUUAAUUUGAUCUGUAAACAAGCUAUGCUUUUUAUUAACAACUUCAUGCUGCAGAAUGUUAUAAGGUAUGUGCUUCUUUGUAAGAAACGCAUGCUGUUUUAUAUUCAUAUCCGUGCCUGCCUUAUAGCUGGCUUUGUGACGCUACUCAUUAAUUCAGGAUUGAAAUGUCUUUCUCACUCUAUGACAUUUAGGUGCCUGAUAUUUUUUACAAAGCUUAUUAAAACUCAGAUUUGU